rnacentral:sRNA from 1 species
GUGCAUUUUCCCUGCCAUCUGUUUUAUCACGGCAUUUUGGCCACCAUCUCUUUCUUCCAUUCUUGCGGCAGCACAAGGAGCAACUCUCGAGGGCGCCCCGCGGCACGGGGCGACACUUGAUAACGCUCAGUGGAGCGCUGCGGUGUAAGGGGAUAUGUUACUAUUUAUGGUGAGUGACAUGUAAACCCCACCACUCUCGAGCCCAUAUGUUAGCCACCAAGUCAGUGGAAAGUUAUAUCAGAUAAUCUCGCUCUGGGCAUAGCACAGAUAGUGUAAAGGGUGUCGCAGGGGCGGCGUCCGAGUGUCCAACAGUUUGGCGGUGAGGUAGUGAUGUCCUGCUACAUCAACAUUGAUUUAGAUAUAUUCGUGUGUUCUUGCUUUUUUUCUGUAUUCGUUCAAAUCUGACGACCGACGAGGUAGUGACAGCCGACUGCACCCCUCUGGACUAUACUCUCAAAUUCUUAGCAUGCAUGUGUUGUUAUUUUUGAUGUAUUAGUUCAGAUAUGAUGUUCCUUACCCAUUGUAUGGCUUUUGAUUUGGGUGUCUGCAAGGUGGCAUUUGUGUUCUUAUCAUUUGUAAAUAAAUAGUGGAUAAAAUUAAUUU